rnacentral:snRNA from 1 species
GGAUGUGAGGGCAAUCUGGGUGUGAUGUCUGUCACCCCAUUGAUCACCAGGGUUAAUUCUGCUGAUCCAGAUGGCUAAGCGGACGUCCCCUUCCUCCUUCAGGGCUCCACGUGCGUCCUUCACAUCCCUCCCAAAGCAGCGCGCUUGCACAGAGGACGACCAUCCAGGAUAGAGGAGGACCUUUUCUUCAGUCAAGAGUAUAUGAGUAGCUGUGCUCCCCUGCUAAAAUAGUUUCGCUAGUUAAAUUUGCAUUAUUUUAAUUUUACCACAAUAAAAAAGUAAUAUAUUAAUAUAAAUAUAUUAUAUAUAAU